AUACCUAAAGCAGUGAACCAGAUUCCUACUACAGGCCAAGCAGCCAAGAAGAAGUGUAAAGAACGAGAGUUGUUGAAACUAGCAUAUUGGAAGAUUAAUCAGCCAAAAUAACCAUGAGCAGCCACAAUAUUAUAAGUUUCUUCCUCUUGACCAAAUUUGUAACCCUCAUUAGCAGAUUCAUUUUCAGUAGUUUCCCUGAUCAAACUAGAGGUUACCAAGGAACCAUGCAUAGCACUGAAUAGGGAACCGCCGAAUACACCAGCUACACCUAACAUGUGGAAUGGAUGCAUAAGGAUGUUGUGCUCUGCCUGGAAUACAAUCAUAAAGUUGAAAGUACCAGAGAUUCCUAAAGGCAUACCAUCAGAAAAGCUUCCUUGACCAAUAGGGUAAAUCAAGAAAACAGCAGUAGCAGCUGCAACAGGAGCUGAAUAUGCAACAGCAAUCCAAGGACGCAUACCCAGACGGAAACUAAGUUCCCACUCACGACCCAUAUAACAAGCUACACCAAGUAAGAAGUGUAGAACAAUUAGCUCAUAAGGACCACCAUUGUAUAACCACUCAUCAACAGAUGCGGCUUCCCAAAUUGGGUAAAAGUGCAAUCCGAUCGCCGCAGAAGUAGGGAUAAUAGCACCAGAGAUAAUAUUGUUUCCAUAAAGUAAAGAACCAGAAACAGGCUCACGAAUACCAUCAAUAUCUACUGGAGGGGCAGCGAUGAAGGCGAUAAUAAAUACAGAAGUUGCGGUCAAUAAGGUAGGGAUCAUCAAAACACCGAACCAUCCGAUGUAAAGACGAUUUUCAGUGCUAGUUAUCCAGUUGCAGAAGCGACCCCACAGGCUUGUACUUUCGCGUCUCUCUAAAAUUGCAGUCAUGGUAAGAUCUUGGUUUAUUCAAAUUGCAAGGACUCCCAAGCACACGUAUUAACUAGAAUAUAGAUAAUAGAAGGCUUGUUAUUUAACAGUAUAACAUAGACUAUAUACCAAUGUCAACCAAGUCAGCCCAAAGAUUAGCUAUCCAUAUAACUAAAUUAACCAAACCAAUAAUUUUGUAUUUGUAAAUGAAGUGAGUCAAAGUUAAAAACUUUGAUGGGUCUUUUCUAUAUGGGUUGCCCGGGACUCGAACCCGGAACUAGUCGGAUGGAGUAGAUAAUUCUUCCUUGUUACAAUAGAGAAAAAUCCCUCCCCAAAUCGUGCUUGCAUUUUUCAUUGCACACGACUUUCCCUAUGUAGAAAUAGCCAAUUUCUACUGGAGGGGCAGCGAUGAAGGCGAUAAUAAAUACAGAAGUUGCGGUCAAUAAGGUAGGGAUCAUCAAAACACCGAACCAUCCGAUGUAAAGACGAUUUUCAGUGCUAGUUAUCCAGUUGCAGAAGCGACCCCACAGGCUUGUACUUUCGCGUCUCUCUAAAAUUGCAGUCAUGGUAAGAUCUUGGUUUAUUCAAAUUGCAAGGACUCCCAAGCACACGUAUUAACUAGAAUAUAGAUAAUAGAAGGCUUGUUAUUUAACAGUAUAACAUAGACUAUAUACCAAUGUCAACCAAGUCAGCCCAAAGAUUAGCUAUCCAUCUAACUAAAUUAACCAAACCAAUAAUUUUGUAUUUGUAAAUGAAGUGAGUCAAAGUUAAAAACUUUGAUGGGUCUUUUCUAUAUGGGUUGCCCGGGACUCGAACCCGGAACUAGUCGGAUGGAGUAGAUAAUUCUUCCUUGUUACAAUAGAGAAAAAUCCCUCCCCAAAUCGUGCUUGCAUUUUUCAUUGCACACGACUUUCCCUAUGUAGAAAUAGCCAAUUUCUAUUCCAAAGAGGAAGUUCUACUAAUUUUUUUAAUUAGUAAGUUGAUUCACCUACUCUUUAUUAUAAUAAAAAGAAGAUUUUCAG
rnacentral:lncRNA from 1 species